CAGGUUUGUGCGCUGUUCCUUGCCCUCAAUGUGCUCUUCACCAUGCAGAUGGGUGCAGUAGUGCAGGCAUGCGAGCCCUACUGCCCCACACCGACGCCGCCGGUGACGCCGCCUCCGUCGCCGCCGUCGGGUGGAGGGAAUAAGUGCCCGAUCGACGCGCUGAAGCUGAGCGUGUGCGCCAACGUGCUCAACCUGCUGAAGCUGAAGAUCGGCGUGCCGGAGAGCGAGCAGUGCUGCCCGUUGCUGGGUGGCCUCGUCGACCUCGACGCCGCCGUCUGCCUCUGCACCGCCAUCAAGGCCAACAUCCUCGGCAUCAAUCUCAACAUCCCCGUCGAUCUCUCUCUCCUUCUCAACUACUGCCACAAGACCUGCCCCUCCGACUUCACCUGCCCUCUCUAAAUUAAUCGAUCCUCCGAUCCCUUAAUUACCAUACCAUUACACCAUGCAUCAAUAUCCAUAUAUAUAUAAACCCUUUCGCACGUACUUAUACUAUGUUUUGUCAUACAUAUAUAUGUGUCGAACGAUCGAUCUAUCACUGAUAUGAUAUGAUUGAUCCAUCAGCCUGAUCUCUGUAUCUUGUUAUUUGUAUACCGUCAAAUAAAAGUUUCUUCCACUUGUGUUAAUAAUUAGCUACUCUCAUCUCAUGAACCCUAUAUAUAACUAGUUUAAUUUGCUGUCAAUUGAACAUGAUGAUCGAUGAUGCACUGCACAUACAUAUAUAUCGACGAUGCGCCAAUGCAUCAACGUACGAAUCAAUAUGAUUUAGGGACUGCUUGUGACUGAAAAUUCCAUUCUAAAUCAUGUAAAUUUUGGGAGAAAUUUCAUGGUCCUUAAAAAAAUAUCUCAAGGUACGCAAAUUCAACACUAAUUUUUUUGGUAUUUCGAGUUACUUAGUAUCUAGAGAUACCAAAUUUUACACUAAAAAUGUGAUACCUCCCAAUACUUUUUCAAAGAUGAUAAAAUUACCUAAAUUUUAAACCGCGCCACUUAAAACUAACUCCUCCUCCCUCCUCCCUCACUCCCAAUUCAACACGUACCGCCGCCACCGAUUCCCCCACCUCUCCUACAAAGUCAAUAAGUCAUGUCGCCCAAUAAAAUGCAUGCUCCUACUAACACUUAUCAUUUUGAGUUUACAUCCCAUUCCAACAAGCCAAUUUCUAAACAUUAGUACUAUUUGAUAAAACUAAACUGAAAGUAAAAGUAACAUGGACCGAUCUUCAAAGAUAUUUAACAUAUAUCAUGAUAUUCAAACAAAACGAUGAAUUGCUUCAUUCUGCACAAAAGGACUACACUAUUUACUACCAUCCAACUCCUCUAGCUAAACUGUUGGUUAGAACAACACCUUUAUGUAAACCGUAAGUGGCGUCUUCAAUUAUCAUAAUAUUUUAUUAGAGCAUCGCCAACAGCAUAACUCAACUCCUCCCAAUCCUAAACUUAGGGGAUUUUAGUUGAAAAAACCGCUCCAACAGAUCAAUCACCUAGUCAUCUACUCAAGAAUUGGAGUACUUGCUCCCAAUCAAUUGCCUGCCAGGGGAGGGGGAGGGAGAGGCAAUCGCGCGACGCGGGAUGAUGGGACGAAUAACAUUUUUUAUUGGUAGUUUGGGGUGGCCCAUACUUUUUGUUUAGGGAGUCAUGCUUUAAACUAUCUGUUGGAGGGAGACAUAAUUUUAAAUUCUAAAUGCUCCUUAGAGGAUCCUGAAAUGAGAUUUCGAGCCAGGAUUAGAAAUUAAUGAAAGCGUUUGGCAUGUUCUUAUUAGUCUCUAUGUACCUAUUGGUCAUCAGAAUUAUGUUUAUUGAUUGGACGGAAAAUUUCCCAUUUUAAUCGAUAAAUAUAUGGACUAUUGAAGGUCAAUAAAUAGUUGAUCAAGCUGCUAAUCAAUUGAUAUCAACUAUAUUAUGGAAAAUUGAUUAAGUCAAAGUGAAUUGCACGAGUAGUCCCUAAACUUAUGAUAUUGUGUAAUCUAUAGCUAGGUUCCUAAACUUUUAAAAUGCAGAUCUAGCUAGGCUCCGGAACUUACUCUAGCGCGCGUCGGAUGACAAAAUGGAAUGGUGUUGCCUCACCAUGAGGAUCCCAAAACCACUGGCCUUUGGCCUGCCUCAUCUCUCUCAUUUACCGUGCUGGCCUACUAUCAGCCUUGGUUAACAGAGAAAAACUGAUUGAUCACCCUUUUAAUUUCUUGAGAUAAAUGAUUAAAAAGGGAGAGAGUUGAGAGAGAAGAGGCAGUGUCAUAUUGGUUCCACAUGGGAUUUCAGAGGGUAGAUCGAUAUACUAUUGAUAUAAUUGAUGGAUUGACUGGUAAACCUUAGGUAGCAAACUGCAUCAUGUCGAUCAUUCCAUUGCGCGAAGAAUGUCGUCCCUGACACGAUGGCCAUCAGUUUAGGUUAUUGUACGUUAGACUAGUUGGCAUCAGCUCAGCUAGCUAGCCACGAUAGCAAUGGGGCGGGCGAGAAUAUAUAAAUAUUAAUAAUGAAUUUAAAAUAAAAUAAAACUGCAUGCAAGCGAUGGAUAGCCACAAUAUAUAUAUAGGGCUUGGGCACCUGGAGCUGCCUAUAAAUAGCAGCCCAAACACCCCCCGAGGAAACCAUCCCAAGCUAGCUAGCUAGCAGCAGCAAAAUAUACUAUAUCAUCAUCAAUUAAUUAAGCUAGUACAAUUAAGAAGUAGCUAAGUAGUCCAAUACGAUGGGCGGCGGCAAGAAUAAGGUGCAGGUUUGUGCGGUGUUCGUCGUUGCUCUGAAUAUGGUCAUCUCCAUGCAGAUGGGUGCAGUGCAGGCAUGCGAGCCCUACUGCCCCACCCCGACGCCGCCGGUGACGCCGCCUCCGUCGCCGCCGUCGGGUGGAGGGAAUAAGUGCCCGAUCGACGCGCUGAAGCUGGGCGUGUGCGCCAACGUGCUCAACCUGCUCAAGCUCAAGGUGGGGGUGCCGGCGAGCGAGGAGUGCUGCCCGCUGCUGGGGGGGCUCGUCGACCUCGACGCCGCCGUCUGCCUCUGCACCGCCAUCAAGGCCAACGUCCUCGGCAUCAACAUCAACGUCCCCGUCGACCUCGUCCUCCUCCUCAACUACUGCCACAAGAC
rnacentral:lncRNA from 1 species